rnacentral:lncRNA from 1 species
GGAAAGAUAAGGAGAAGGAGAAGAAGCCUGGGAUCGUGGUGAUCCAGGGCCCAAAGCCUGGGAAGCCGACGGACAUGGCUCGGAUGCGGCAGAUAUUGCUGAAGCUGAAGCACACUCCCCCGCCACACAUGAAGCCACCUCCGCCACCUGCAGCAGCCGCCGGCAAGGAUGGUGCGCCAGCUGCUGCUGGAAAGGACGGAGCUCCAGCUGCUGCUGCAAAGGAUGGAGCAAAGCCAGCAGCCCCUGCGAACGGCAGCGUCCCUGAGAUGGAAAAGGCCGCGGGGGCAGCACCUGCACCAGCAACUGAGCCUAUCGCAGCUGCCUGAGCUAAUCAUUUGCGGUAGGAGGAUAGAGUUGUUUCAGAGGAGGCGGUGGUGAAAGUGUCUGAAUUGCUGGCAUGGCUGAGGCACCUACUGUGUAUUUUGUUGGGGCACCUUGAU